rnacentral:rRNA from 1 species
GUAGUCCACGCCGUAAACUAUGAUCACUCGUUGUUGGCAAUACAUCGUCAGCGACUGAGCGAAAGCAUUAAGUGAUCCACCUGGGGAGUACGGUCGCAAGAUUGAAACUCAAAGGAAUUGACGGGGGCCCGCACAAGCGGAGGAACAUGUGGUUUAAUUCGAUGAUACGCGAGGAACCUUACCUGGGCUUAAAUGCAGGACGACGGAUCGGGAAACCGGUCCUUCCUUCGGGACGGACUGCAAGGUGCUGCAUGGUUGUCGUCAGCUCGUGCCGUGAGGUGUCGGGUUAAGUCCCAUAACGAGCGCAACCCUUAUCGUUAGUUGCCAGCGGGUCAUGCCGGGGACUCUAACGAAACUGCCGGUGUAAACCGAGAGGAAGGUGGGGAUGACGUCAAAUCAGCACGGCCCUUAUGUCCAGGGCUACACACGUGUUACAAUGGUCGGUACAAAGGGCAGCUACCUGGCAACAGGAUGCAAAUCUCGAAAACCGAUCUCAGUUCGGAUUGGAGUCUGCAACUCGACUCCAUGAAGCUGGAUUCGCUAGUAAUCGCGCAUCAGCCAUGGCGCGGUGAAUACGUUCCCGGGCCUUGUACACACCGCCCGUCAAGUCACGAAAGUCGGUAACACCCGAAGCCGGUGGCCUAACCCUUUUGGGGAGGAGCCGUCUAAGGUGGGAUUGGCGAUUGGGACU